GGACUACACGGGUUUCUAAUCCUGUUUGCUCCCCACGCUUUCGCGUCUCAGCGUCAGUUGUCGUCCAGAUGGCCGCCUUCGCCACCGGUGUUCCUCCUGAUAUCUACGAAUUUCACCUCUACACCAGGAAUUCCGCCAUCCUCUCCGACACUCGAGGCCGGCAGUUUCGAGCGCAGUUCCCAGGUUGAGCCUGGGGAUUUCACGCCCGACUUACCGACCCGCCUACACGCGCUUUACGCCCAGUAAUUCCGAGCAACGUUCGCACCCUCUGUAUUACCGCGGCGGCUGGCAC
rnacentral:rRNA from 1 species